GACGAACGCUGGCGGCGUGCUUAACACAUGCAAGUCGAACGGAAAGGCCCUGCUUGCAGGGUGCUCGAGUGGCGAACGGGUGAGUAACACGUGGGUGAUCUGCCCCUUACUUUGGGAUAAGCCUGGGAAACUGGGUCUAAUACUGGAUAGGACCAUGCUGUAGGUGGUGUGGUGGAAAGAUUAGUUUCGGUAAGGGAUGAGAUCGCGGCCUAUCAGCUUGUUGGUGGGGUAAUGGCCUACCAAGGCGUCGACGGGUAGCCGGCCUGAGAGGGUGGACGGCCACAUUGGGACUGAGAUACGGCCCAGACUCCUACGGGAGGCAGCAGUGGGGAAUAUUGCACAAUGGGCGCAAGCCUGAUGCAGCGACGCCGCGUGGGGGAUGACGGCCUUCGGGUUGUAAACUCCUUUCAGCCAUGACGAAGCCCUUGUGGUGACGGUAGUGGUAGAAGAAGCACCGGCUAACUACGUG
rnacentral:rRNA from 1 species